rnacentral:rRNA from 1 species
UACGUAGGGUGCUAGCGUUGUCCGGAAUCAUUGGGCGUAAAGCGCGUGUAGGCGGCCCGAUAAGUCCGCUGUGAAAGUCCAGGGCUCAACCCUGGGAUGCCGGUGGAUACUGUCGGGCUCGAGUCCGGAAGAGGCGAGUGGAAUUCCUGGUGUAGCGGUGAAAUGCGCAGAUAUCAGGAGGAACACCAAUGGCGAAGGCAGCUCGCUGGGACGUGACUGACGCUGAGACGCGAAAGCGUGGGGAGCAAACAGG